UCCGGCUUAACGCCGGCGGUCUCCCUAGAGUGCCCAACUGAAUGGUGGCAACUAAGGAUAGGGGUUGCGCUCGUUAAGGGACUUAACCCGACAUCUCACGAUACGAGCUGACGACAGCCAUGCAGCACCUGAACCGUCGGUCCCUUGCGGGAAGACCGUAUCUCUACGGUUGUCCGACGUUAUCUAACCCAGGUAAGGUUCUUCGCGUUGCAUCGAAUUAAACCACAUGCUCCACCGCUUGUGCGGGCCCCCGUCAAUUCCUUUGAGUUUUAAUCUUGCGACCGUACUUCCCAGGCGGGGUACUUAAUGCGUUAGCUGCGGCACUGUAGGGGUCAAUUCCCACAACACCUAGUACCCAUCGUUUACGGCGUGGACUAC
rnacentral:misc_RNA from 1 species